rnacentral:rRNA from 1 species
UACGGGGGGGGCAAGCGUUGUUCGGAAUUACUGGGCGUAAAGGGCUCGUAGGCGGCCAACUAAGUCAGACGUGAAAUCCCUCGGCUUAACCGGGGAACUGCGUCUGAUACUGGUUGGCUUGAGUGUGGGAGAGGGAUGCGGAAUUCCAGGUGUAGCGGUGAAAUGCGUAGAUAUCUGGAGGAACACCGGUGGCGAAGGCGGCAUCCUGGACCAUUACUGACGCUGAGGAGCGAAAGCCAGGGGAGUAAACGGG